GUUGGUCUUCGAUCAGAAUCACCUUGGCUAAAUAUUUCCUCCAAUUCCGCGACGACUUUUUCCUUCCGACAUGAAAAAUUUCACGGGUUCAUGAGUGACAGCCGAGCAGAAACAGCGUCCAACUCAUUGCGGACGAGGUUGUGUCGUGGCCCUGAGAAUGUACACGUCUUUAAUGAAGAAUCAUUCAGAGAUUGAUAAAAAAAAUUGUCGAUUAGUUUACCUCGAACAUGAAUGUGUCAACUUCCUCCCGAAUGUCUUCGUCCGAGAGAAGAGUUCCGCCUCGAGAUGCUUCGAUCAGUAAGUCGAGGAAGGCUAGCUUCUUGGUUCCAUACUGUUCUACAAAACAAGGAUCCUGGAUAAUAAAACGAAGAGCAGGACGUCAGACGAAACAAGCAGUCGGGAUGAUACCACAGCGUAGCUUGACGAGUCUGGACAAUCCCUCCCAUUCUGUACGGAUAUUUUUGA